GAAGUUCCCAGGCUAAGGGUGAAAGCAGAGCUGCAGCUGCCAACCUACACCACAGCCACAGCAACAUGGGAUUCAAACCAUGUCUGCGACCUACACCACAGCUCACUGCAACACCAGAUCCUUAGCCCACUGAGUGAGGCCAGUGAUGGAACCCGCAUCCUCAGAAGAAGAAGAGCCAGCAAAGCUCUCUCUCUGCCAUGUGAGCGAACAGCUAGAAGACGGCCAUCUGCGAGCCAGAAAGAGAGCUCUCACCAGAAACUGACCCUGGGGACACCUUGACCUUGACCUUCCAGCCUCCACUACUAUGAGAAAUAACUUUCUGUUGUUUAUGCCUCGAGGUUUGUGGUAUUUUGUUAUGGCAGCCUGAGCAGACUAACUCUGGGGGCGGGGGGUGGAAGUAUCACUGGGGCAGAGAUGGCCUGGAGUCUCCUAUGUGAACUUCCAGAAGCUGGACAGUCAUUCGUGAAACAUCCUUGGUGAACAGAUGAGAGAGAGAGUGAAAGAACCUGGCCCACUUCCACCAAGCCGUCCCUCUGGAUGGCAGGGAUGAGGUCUGAGAACAAGAAGACAAGCGUACUUGGACCUCUAGUUUGGCCUCUCAGAGGGAGGAAGAAAUCAAGCACAUGUCUCUUCAUCCUCAUUCUCUACAACAAAGGGUGCCUCUGGCAUACCAGCCCUGUCUUCUCAAGACAGCGACCUUAAAUAACCACUGUACUUACUGGUUUCCAAAUGCAGAGUUGGGCUGCAAAGGCCAAGUUGUCCUUUCAUUGCCCUCUUGCAAUGGAAUGAUUGCAAAUGUCCCAUCCCCAAGCAACAUGGCAUUUGUCCUCAAAAGUAGGACAGAACCCUGUUGGGAAGAGCAGUUUCUGGGUCAUUGCCCGGAGAGCCUCUGUCAGCAUGGUCACCACGUGAGCAGAGCCACAGCCAUCCGCAGGGACGGCUUGGUGGAUGUGGUCCAGGUUCUUUCAAACUUGAAUGUCGACAGAAAUUCGACAUUCAAAAGUAGUGCCACAGGAAGUGGCAUCUCCCUAUUACUAACAGACACCACAAGGUGGGUUUAAUCUGUCCAAUCAGGCAGAGUCUAGGAUUACAGCCACAUGCAAAGUGAAAAUGUGGGAACCUUCAGAAAUGUGACAGUUUUGCAUCCUUCAUACUCAUUAAAAAGAUGUUUCAAAGUCCCUGCUGUGACACAGUGGGUUAAGGAUCUGGUGUUGCUGCAGCUGUGGUCUAGGUUGCAGCUGCAGCUCAUAUUUGAUCCCUGGCCUGGGAACUUCCAUGUGCCUUGGGUACGGCCAAAAAAGAGAAAAAAAGAUAUUUCAAGUAAAGUGGGAAGUGCAUAUCACAUUUAUUUGUGAUCAGAUGCAAGAGAUUUCAAUUAUGGAAAUACUACCUCCUUCCUUUUUUUUUGGAUUCCACUUUUAAAACUGAAAAAUUAAUCUUUUCCUUGAGAAUUGGGUCUUAAGGGGGGCAACAUCACAGCAAGAAUUUAUUUGCAAGGAAAAAGCUUCAUUUUAAAAGCCUGCUUUGAAAAUAUCUUGGUAUUUUGAGGACCCUUUAAGUUAAACUCUUUGCUCUUCCAUUUUUAAAAUUUUUUUAAUUUUAAUUUUAAUUUUUUAUUUUUUUAAAUUACUCCAUGAAUUUUACUGCAUUUAUAGGUGUACAAUGAUCAUCACAACCAAAUUUUAUGGCACUUCCAUCCCAAACCCUCAGUGCAUCCCUCCACCCCCCAACCUGUCUCAUUUGGAAACCAUAAGUUUUUCAAAGUCUAUGAGUCAGUAUCUGUUGUGCAAAGAAGUUCAUUGUGUCCUUUUUUAGAUUCUGCAUGUAAGUGAUAGUAUUUGAUGUUGGUGUCUCAUUGUGUGACUGAUUUCACUCAGCAUGACAAUUUCUAGGGCCAUCCAUGUUUCUGCAAAUGCCAUUAUUUCUUUCCUUUUAAUGGCUGAGUAAUAUUCCAUGGUGUGUAUGUACCACAUCUUUUUUAUCCACUCCUCUGCUGAUGGACAUUUAGGUUGUUUCCAUGUCUUGGUUAUUGCAAAUAGCACUGCAAAGAACAUUGGAGUACAUGUGUCUAUUUCAGUCAUGGUUUUCUCUGGAUUGAUGCCCCAGGGUGGGAUUGCCAGAUCAAAUGGUAGUUCUAUUUUUAGUUUUCUGAGGAAUCUCCUUGCCCUCCCAUUUAUCCAGGAACAUUUGCUUGUCCUUGGAUGGCAUUUUAUUUUGCUAAUCUUUUAGUAAAACAAACAAGUGAUGUGUGGCCAACACAUUUGGGAGCUGUGUUAUCUUUUGAUUCAUCCAGAUGGUGACUCUCCAGACCAUUCCACAAAGGCAGCCUGCACCUAAGGAGCAGGAUGCACACGGUUUGGUCGGCGUGCCUGGGGAGCGCCUGUGUCUCCAGCUCUUUCCCCCCAAUGGGCUGGGCUUUGAGUGAGGGUGCAGAUGGUGCAGCUGGCAGGGCUAUUGAUCCUCUCAGGCCCCUCGUUUCAGGCAAAGCCUGCCUGCCUCACCCUUGGCUGGGUAAUCCCCAGUCCAGCUGGAGGCAGGGACAGAAACAUUUGCGGGGCCCAGGUCUGUCUGUUUGCUCUCGGAGCCAGACUGGCCUGUUCCUUGCAGGUCUCCUGGGAGGCUGUGGCUUCCUUGAAUUUCUGAUUAACUCUUCCUUGACUGAGUCUAUGGGGGAUCCUGGGCAACCGCACUGGGGAACUCUGUCCUUGGCUUUGCAUCCCACCAAUGCCACACCGCACAUACCAUAUACAACACACACAGCACACCACAUGCACACAUAUCACACCACAUACAUAAACAUUGCACCACACACACCACACACCACAUGUGCGCAUACCACACCACAUACACAAACACCACUCCACACACACGUCCUAACACCACACCGCAUACACACAUACACACACCACAUUUAUACUCCACACCCCACACCACCUGCACAAACACCACACCCCAAAGGCCACACCACACACACAAGCAUUAAACUACACACAAAACAUUACAUGCACAAACAAUGCACCACACACCCCAUACCACGUGCACAAACACUGCAACACACACAGCAUACCAUGUGCACAUAUUACACACCACAUGCACAAACACCACACCACAUACACACCCUAUAUACCACAUAUGCGCCAUACCUCAUGCAUGCACACUACACCACACACACACACACACACACACACACCACGUACACACCCCACAUACAUCACAUGCACAUAUAAAACACCACAUGAACAAACACCACACCACAUACACACCCUACAUGCUACACUAUACACCCCCACAUAUCACAUCACACGCAUACACGCCACACAUACACACACACACUCUCCCUCUGCCUCCAAUGCAUACUGCACAUCUCCCACACCUGCAGUCCACCCGCUGUUUUCUUAUUGGCUCCCUGACCCUUCGCAUCAAAGGGAUUCCUGAGGCAAAGCCUGCAAGGUUUCCUCCCCAGAAAGAGCCCUUCCUGAGGACACUGAGAAUAAGGGAACACAUCAGUCUGUUUUUCCGGCCAGUUGUUCAUUCCCUACAUUUCUGACAUCUGUGAUGCACCAGAUCUUCCGAGUCUUGCAAGGGGGUGGGAGUGGGGGCCGAGAGCGUGGGCACAGCCUGCUUCCAUUCAGCCUGGAGCCUGGGUGUGGGGCGUGGCGAGAACAUGUCAGUGAACAUGAAAAUCACAGCAGUGGACACGAGGAAGAGGGCUAAGACCCACAACCCUGGAGGAGGAGACGUGUGAGGAGAGCUGAUGGCAGGAGAAGCACAGCCGUGACUGUGCCUGCAGAGGGUGGAGGACAGCAGGGGGGGUCCAUGGUGGGACAGGGCCCAGCAUCCAGGAUGAGGAAGACCUGGGGCUGCCUGGGGUGGUGCUAGGAGUCUGAGGGUCCUGUAUGCAAGGUCAUCCCUCCCUGAAGGUAGAGGUGGUGAUGAGGGGACAUGGGGGGGUCCUGGAAGCUUGGAGAUGAGCAGCAGGAUUGGAGGUUCUGGAGCACAGAGGUGGAAAGCCCAGUGGGGAUGGAGGGGCUGAGGUUGGAAGGGGAGGGUCCUGGGCCUGCACAGACAUCAGCAACUGGGAAGGACAGGGCCAAGGUCAUGGUCUGCUUUUAAUUUCACUUUUCUCAACUUAUGGUUUGAAAUGAUUUUGGAUGUACAGGAGAGCUGCAAGGAUCGAGUUUGCAUAUACAAUCUACUUGGGUUCCUUCAUGUUAGCAUCUUCCAUCAGCACAGUACAUUUGCCAAAACCGAGAAAUUAUCAGUGGUGAAUACUGCUAGUUAAACCACACACUCUGUCUGGACCCCCUUUUCCAAUGGGACUCAAUCCAGGACACCAGGGCCCAUUAAGAUAUCCUGCUUCCCCAUCUCCCCCCCAAAAAGAAUUCUGUCCCUAAUCUUGACACUUUGGAAGAGUUCUGGUCAGUUAUUCUGUAGAAUUUUCCCCAAGGCUGAGUUUGAUGCUUAUCAUGAUUAGAUCAUGGCCGAGGAUUUUUGUGCAGAUACCACAGAGGGGAGGUGCCCUUCUCACCACUCGCUAUCAGCGCCUGUGUAAUUUCAACUAGAUUUCUUCCUGCGCCUGUUGGUUAAGGGUGUCUGCCAGGUUUCUCCACUGGCCAGUGACUUUCCUUUUCUUUCUUUUUUUUUUUUUUUUUUUUUUUUUUUUGUUAGAAGUGAAUGACUCGUCCAACCCAGGCUCAAGAGGAGAGACGUGAAACACCAGCUCCUAGAAGGGCAGGGUCCAGAAUGUGUGGGAUGCUGUUAAAUCCACCACAGUAAUUAUGAAUGCUGUUCACAGUGUUAUUAUUAUUAUUGUUCUAGUUUAGAGGUUGCCUUUCUUUCUAUAACUAGGUGGCAAUUUUAUCUGU
rnacentral:lncRNA from 1 species